rnacentral:rRNA from 1 species
UAGAUCUCCCACCCUUGUGUAUCAUUAUAGAAUGUUGCUUUGGCGGGCCGCGCCUAGUGUGCCUGGAUUCGCGUCCAGCGUGCCCGCCAGAGGACCCCUAAACUCUGAAUGUUAGUGUCGUCUGAGUACUAUUAAAUAGUUAAAACUUUCAACAACGGAUCUCUUGGUUCUGGCAUCGAUGAAGAACGCAGCGAAAUGCGAUAAGUAAUGUGAAUUGCAGAAUUCAGUGAAUCAUCGAAUCUUUGAACGCACAUUGCGCCCCCUGGUAUUCCGGGGGGCAUGCCUGUUCGAGCGUCAUUUAUACCAAUCUAGCCUGGCUAGGUGUUGGGCUUCGCCGUUUGGCGGGCCUUAAAACCAGUGGCGGUGCUCUUAGGCUCUACGCGUAGUAAUUUUCUCGCUAUAGGGUCCUGGGAGAUGCUUGCCAGCAACCCCAAAUUUUUCUAGGUUGACCUCGGAUCAGGUAGGGAUACCCGCUGAACUUAAGCAUAUCAAUA